GUGAGGAAUUUUCCGCAAUGGGCGAAAGCCUGACGGAGCAAUGCCGCGUGAAGGAUGAAGGCCUAUGGGUUGUAAACUUCUUUUCUCAGAAAAGAAUUAUGACGGUAUCUGAGGAAUAAGCAUCGGCUAACUCUGUGCCAGCAGCCGCGGUAAGACAGAGGAUGCAAGCGUUAUCCGGAAUGAUUGGGCGUAAGCGUCUGUAGGUUGUUUAAAAAGUAUUCUGUCAAAGAUUAGGGCUUAACCCUAGAUAGGCAGAAUAAACUUUUAAGCUAGAGUUUGGUAGAGGCAGAGGGAAUUCCCGGUGGAGCGGUGAAAUGCGUAGAUAUCGGGAGGAACACCAAAGGCGAAGGCACUCUGCUGGGCCAAUACUAACACUGAGAGACGAAAGCGAGGGGAGCAAAUGGGAUUAGAAACCCCAGUAGUCC
rnacentral:rRNA from 1 species